rnacentral:lncRNA from 1 species
AAGGGUUGAUUUUAUAAUUCUUGGACAGGGUUAGAGACAAGAAAAUUUGAUGGCUCCCUAGACAGGGAACUCGAGCCCUGAAAUUUACAGCCUCAACACCGCCACAUUACACCUCAGGUUGCCGAUGUCGGAUUAAAAGCAAGGAUCCAACAUCGGGGAUUUUAAUUGUCAAAACCAUUUAUCUUUUGUACAUGGAGAUCACCAUCAUUCUUGUUCUUUAAAUUUCAAUGGGCGAUUAUAAGAGUGUCAUUGAAAAGAUACAAAUUUCUCAUAAGAAAUUCUCGAACUUUGUGACUCACUCCAAGCCGUCAAAUUUGAUAUCCAAUGAGUCGGAAUGAUUGUGACACCUAUUCUAUUAUUCUAUUACAUUAAGAUUUUGCCAUUCUACUCAACAAGUAUGCCUGCGCCGGUGGCCUUAUCACGGGCAGUGCACCUUUUCACACAUUUUUUCCUAUAUUUUGUUUAUAAAUUUUUCUCAAUUUUAUCU